rnacentral:lncRNA from 1 species
AGGGCAGGUCUUCUGUCCCAUGUGCUGAACCCCAGAGGAGUCACCACUGGGAACUGGGUCGUUGGGCUUUCAGGUGAGUGGACGCUUUCUCCCCACUCACAACCCCCACCAUGCAGUCUCUGCUCCUCCAUGGUCACUGUGGAAUGGCUCCUGAUGGCGCUCAACCCCUUGCCCUGUUUUCUCCCCUGCGGUCCACUGAGCCAGCCCUGCGGCCGCCAAGUCUCAGGUUAGAGCUCCCUCUCGCGGCCGAUGCUGGGCACUACAUUGCCCAAGACCCAGGUGGGCCGAAGUCUUGAGAAAGGGCUCGCAGUCAUCGUCGCCAGCACUGAAGGCAUGACGACUUCCCUGUUAAAAAAAAAAUGUCCCACGUGUGGCCGAGUGCCACACCCAGGCAGCUGCCGAAAAAAAGCACCAGACACCAUGCAGCUGGAGGUUUGGAGGGAUGGAGAGGAGAGAGGAGGGGAAGAAGCUACCUUCUUCACUAGCCUUGCUGAGAGACAAGUGGGUACGGCCCACAGGCACCUCCACCAGCCUGCCCUCUAGAUCCUCCCAGCUCAGCCUGCUGACCAGCUGGGAUGAUAGGCAGGCACCACCACACCUGGCUAAUUUUUUAAACUUUUUGUAGAGAUGGGGUCUCCCUAUGUUGCCCAGGCUGGCCUCAAAUUCCUGGGCUCAAGCCAUCCUCCCACCCUGGCCUCAGAGGAAAUCCUAUGAAAUACAGAGUAUUCAUGCUGGCAGUCUCAUGAAGGGUAGGUAUCAACUUUUUCUCCCCAGAGGUGGGCCCUCUUCCCCCUAAAGCACAGCGCCUUGUGAUGCGAAGGCCGAGGCUGGGAGAGGUCACACCUGGUCUCUCCACAUGUUCCAGCUCCCAGCCUGCUGAGCACAGCCCUUGCUGACCUGGGCUGGCCCUGAGGAGGGGUGUGCUUGCUCCCGUACACAGGAGUGACCUGAAGGCCCCUCACUGUGGUCACAAACACAGCCCUAAACUGUCCAGAAACUGUAUCCUCAGAGCGGGAAGUGCCCACGUGGACAGAGAGAAAGCCAGCCUCUCGGGGCAGAUUGCCGCCUCUACUGUGAGGAUUCUCCAGGGGCUACCGAGAGGCUGGGCUGGUUUAUCUCCUCUGCCUAGAAAGGCCUGGGGUGGCCAAUGUGAACUCAUUAAAAGGAAAACCAGCUUUCC